rnacentral:rRNA from 1 species
GCGGCGUGCCUACUACAUGCAACGUCGAGCGAACCGGCACGCAGAAAGCUUGCUUCUCUGAUGUUACGCGGCGGACGGGUGAGUAACACGUGGAUAACCUACCUAUAAGACUGGGAUAACUUCGGGAAACCGGAGCUAAUACCGGAUAAUAUUUUGAACCGCAUGGUUCAAAAGUGAAAGACGGUCUUGCUGUCACUUAUAGAUGGAUCCGCGCUGCAUUAGCUAGUUGGUAACGGUAACCGGCUUACCAAGGCAACGAUGCAUAGCCGACCUGAGAGGGUGAUCGGCCACACUGGAACUGAGACACGGUCCAGACUCCUACGGGCAGGCAGCAGUAGCGGAAUCUUCCGCCAAUGGGCGAAAGCCUGACGGAGCAACGCCGCGUGCAGUGCAUGAAGGUCUUCGGAUCGUCAAACACUCUGUUCAUUAGCGGAAGAACAUAUGUGUACAGUAACUGUGCACAUCUUGACGGUACCUACUCAGAAAGCCACGGCUACCUACGUGCCACGCACGCCCGCGGUAAUACCGUACCGUGGCACACGCGUUAUCCGGGACUCAUUCGGGCGUAAAGGCGCGCG